UACAGAGGUCUCAAGCGUUGUUCGGAUUCAUUGGGCGUAAAGGGUGCGUAGGCGGCGCGGUAAGUCGGGGUGUGAAAUCUCGGAGCUUAACUCCGAAACUGCAUUCCAUACUGCGGUGCUUGAGGACUGGAGAGGAGACUGGAAUUUACGGUGUAGCAGUGAAAUGCGUAGAGAUCGUAAGGAAGACCAGUGGCGAAGGCGGGUCUCUGGACAGUUCCUGACACUGAGGCACGAAGGCCAGGGGGAGCAAAACGGGG
rnacentral:rRNA from 1 species